GCGCCGGUGGUCUAGUGGCCAUGAUUCGAGCCUUCCAAGCUCGCGACCCGGGUUCAACAUUUUGGCGGUCCGCUCUUGGAAAUCUUUGAUUUCCAAGCCUUCAAGCAAAAACUUGAAGCAAACCCCAUGUGCAAUGUGAGACAUUCGCUUCGCGAAGUCUCACGGAACGACCUUUGGAGAAGAAGCCCCACAUUGCGUAGGGGUGUGGCAGGCUGCCACAAAGGAAAGUCCCGGCCGGCGCA
rnacentral:tRNA from 1 species